rnacentral:rRNA from 1 species
AUUGAACGCUGGCGGCAGGCCUAACACAUGCAAGUCGAACGAGUGGCGGACGGGUGAGUAAUGUCUGGGAAACUGCCUGAUGGAGGGGGAUAACUACUGGAAACGGUAGCUAAUACCGCAUACCAUCAGAUGUGCCCAGAUGGGAUUAGCUUGUUGGGUGGGUAACGGCUCACCAAGGCGACGAUCCCUAGCUGGUCUGAGAGGAUGACCGGCCACACUGGAACUGAGACAAGGUCCAGAACCCUACGGGAGGCAGCAGUGGGGAAUAUUGCAAAAUGGGCGCAAGCCUGAUAGAGCCCAGCCGCCUGUAUGAAGAAGGCCUUCGGGUUGUAAAGUACUUUCAGCGGGGAGGCGUUACCCGCCGAAGAAGCACCGGCUAACCCCGUGCCAGCCGCCGCGGUAAUAC